rnacentral:rRNA from 1 species
GUCGAGAAUAAUUCACAAUGGGGGAAACCCUGAUGGUGCAACGCCGCGUGGAGGAUGAAGGUCUUCGGAUUGUAAACUCCUGUCAUCCGGGAGUAAGACCUGACGGUGAAUAGCCGGCAGGGUUGAUAGUACCAGAAGAGGAAGGGACGGCUAACUUCGUGCCAGCAGCCGCGGUAAUACGAAGGUCCCAAGCGUUGUUCGGAAUCACUGGGCGUAAAGGGAGCGUAGGCGGCGUGGUAAGUCAGAUGUGAAAUCCCGGGGCUCAACCCCGGAACUGCAUCCGAUACUGCCAUGCUUGAGGGUUGGAGAGGUAGCUGGAAUUCUCGGUGUAGCAGUGAAAUGCGUGGAUAUCGAGAGGAACACUCGUGGCGAAGGCGAGCUACUGGACAACAUCUGACGCUGAGGCUCGAAGGCUAGGGGAGCAAAAGGGAUUAGAUACCCGUGUAGUCC